rnacentral:lncRNA from 7 species
CAGAACAUCAAUGUUGAUCUUUCCCAUAAAUUGAUGGAGGACACAACUACUUUACCAUAAAUGACCUUUUUCUUGAUCUGGCAUAAUUUGUUUCACUGGCUUACCCUAGGAUUGGUGCUGCAGAUUUUACCAUACAUGACCAAUUCCACCUAUUUUUCCACGGCAGCCUGCAGCGCCUGUCCAUUCAAAUAAACCUCAGCAAUUAUAUGCGCUCAAUUAAAGGCACCAAGAGAAAAUUUAAAAAGAUGCUAAGUCCAGGGC